rnacentral:lncRNA from 1 species
GGAUUCACCUGUGAGACCAACAAAUUCUGAGCAACAGAACAAAAGACAAGAUAAAGACAGAAAGAGGCAAAUGGGCAAUCCCGUGCCAGGGACUAGCAAGUCGUUUUUAAGAGUAAACCUGCUGAGUGGCAGGAAGUCAGGUUGGGGACAAUUUAUGUUAUGGUAAGAGGAUUGAACCUUAUGUAGGCCACAUGGAGCCAAUGAAGAAUUUUAGGCAGAGAAGCAAAUGAUAAGACUUGACUUUUGGGAAGAUCCGUUUGGCUACAGCACGGAAAAUGGAAUCAGUUUGACCUGUUAAAAAGACUAUUUCAAUGUUUCAAGCAGUAAAUGAUAAUGGCUUAAACUAAGGGAAUGGAAUAGAGCCAGGUCCUCACAAUGUACGCGGCCCUGUGGAACCUGCUUCCCACCUCACGCCGUACCUCGCUCCCCUCAUCUUCUGCUUCUCUUCCUCAAGCUCAGUCCCCUCAGCCACACUAGCCUCCUUGCUUUCUCUGGAACAUGCCAGCAUUUAUCGAGGACCUAUCAUGCCAGACGGCUGGGGAUGCAGUGUCACUAAGAGAGACGUGGUCCCAUCCUUGUGAAACUUACAAUCUAGCAGGGAAGACACACAAUGAAGAUGUAAUGAGAAGCUCACUGAGUGCUACACAUGCCGACUCCCAGUAAAUAAUAAUAAUUAAUAUAAACACCUAUAGAAUGAAUAAGUGAAUGGUUGAGUAACUGUGUGAAUAAUAACCCCUUCUCCACAAUUUUUCCCCCUCUCUGCUUUAUAUUACAUUUAGCCUAAAAUAUAACGUUUUUUAUGGUCCC